CAGCUCCAAAAGGCCCAAACAUUUGCCACAGGAUACUCUCAUCUGCAUCAGGAGCCAGGGAGAAGAGGCAGAAGCAUCAGACCUAGUAGGGCUCAAAGCCCUGGCCCUGCUAAAUCCACCCACUGCCUGAGUCCAGGAAAUGAAGAAUUUCCCAGUUAAUGAUAACAUAUGGUAUGAAAAGAAAAACACAAAGUGAGUCGAUGACUUUUUCAGAAGAUAUUAAAUAUGGCCAUCAAAAUAUCCUGUGAAGUUUUACCCCACAAACAAUAAAAAGCA